rfam:Triticum aestivum genome assembly, contig: Triticum_aestivum_CS42_TGACv1_scaffold_406517_5BL
UUACUACUCCCUCCGUCCGGAAAUACUUGUCAUCAAAAUGAAUAAAAGGGGAUGUAUCUAGAUGUAUUUUAGUUUUAGAUACAUUUCCUUUUAUCCGUUUUGAUGACAAGUAUUUUCGGACGCAGGGAGUAUAUG